rfam:Ovis aries breed Texel chromosome 13, whole genome shotgun sequence.
UCCCUGGUGGCUCAGACGGUAAAGAAUCUGCCUGCAAUGCAGGAGACCUGGGUUCGAUCCCCUGGUUGGGAC